ACGGUGGAUGCCUUGACACUAGGAGUCGAUGAAGGACGGGACUAACGCCGAUAUGCUUCGGGGAGCUGUAAGUAAGCUUUGAUCCGAAGAUUUCCGAAUGGGGAAACCCACCAUACGUAAUGGUAUGGUAUCCUUAUCUGAAUACAUAGGGUAAGGAAGACAGACCCAGGGAACUGAAACAUCUAAGUACCUGGAGGAAGAGAAAGCAAAUGCGAUUUCCUGAGUAGCGGCGAGCGAAACGGAACAUAGCCCAAACCAAGAGGCUUGCCUCUUGGGGUUGUAGGACAUUCUAUACGGAGUUACAAAGGAACGAGGUAGACGAAGCGACCUGGAAAGGUCCGUCGUAGAGGGUAACAACCCCGUAGUCGAAACUUCGUUCUCUCUUGAAUGUAUCCUGAGUACGGCGGAACACGUGAAAUUCCGUCGGAAUCUGGGAGGACCAUCUCCCAAGGCUAAAUACUCCCUAGUGAUCGAUAGUGAACCAGUACCGUGAGGGAAAGGUGAAAAGCACCCCGGAAGGGGAGUGAAAGAGAUCCUGAAACCGUGUGCCUACAAAUAGUCAGAGCCCGUUAACGGGUGAUGGCGUGCCUUUUGUAGAAUGAACCGGCGAGUUACGAUCCCGUGCGAGGUUAAGCUGAAGAGGCGGAGCCGCAGCGAAAGCGAGUCUGAAUAGGGCGUUUAGUACGUGGUCGUAGACCCGAAACCAGGUGAUCUACCCAUGUCCAGGGUGAAGUUCAGGUAACACUGAAUGGAGGCCCGAACCCACGCACGUUGAAAAGUGCGGGGAUGAGGUGUGGGUAGCGGAGAAAUUCCAAUCGAACCUGGAGAUAGCUGGUUCUCCCCGAAAUAGCUUUAGGGCUAGCCUUAAGUGUAAGAGUCUUGGAGGUAGAGCACUGAUUGGACUAGGGGUCCUCAUCGGAUUACCGAAUUCAGUCAAACUCCGAAUGCCAAUGACUUAUCCUUAGGAGUCAGACUGCGAGUGAUAAGAUCCGUAGUCAAAAGGGAAACAGCCCAGACCGCCAGCUAAGGUCCCAAAGUGUGUAUUAAGUGGAAAAGGAUGUGGAGUUGCUUAGACAACUAGGAUGUUGGCUUAGAAGCAGCCACCAUUUAAAGAGUGCGUAAUAGCUCACUAGUCGAGUGACUCUGCGCCGAAAAUGUACCGGGGCUAAAUACACCACCGAAGCUGCGGAUUGAUACCGAAUGGUAUCAGUGGUAGGGGAGCGUUCUAAGGACAGUGAAGUCAGACCGGAAGGACUGGUGGAGUGCUUAGAAGUGAGAAUGCCGGUAUGAGUAGCGAAAGACGGGUGAGAAUCCCGUCCACCGAAUGCCUAAGGUUUCCUGAGGAAGGCUCGUCCGCUCAGGGUUAGUCAGGACCUAAGCCGAGGCCGACAGGCGUAGGCGAUGGACAACAGGUUGAUAUUCCUGUACCACCUCUUUAUCGUUUGAGCAAUGGAGGGACGCAGAAGGAUAGAAGAAGCGUGCGAUUGGUUGUGCACGUCCAAGCAGUUAGGCUGAUAAGUAGGCAAAUCCGCUUAUCGUAAAGGCUGAGCUGUGAUGGGGAAGCUCCUUAUGGAGCGAAGUCUUUGAUUCCCCGCUGCCAAGAAAAGCUUCUAGCGAGAUAAAAGGUGCCUGUACCGCAAACCGACACAGGUAGGCGAGGAGAGAAUCCUAAGGUGUGCGAGAGAACUCUGGUUAAGGAACUCGGCAAAAUGACCCCGUAACUUCGGGAGAAGGGGUGCUUUCUUAACGGAAAGCCGCAGUGAAUAGGCCCAAGCGACUGUUUAGCAAAAACACAGCUCUCUGCGAAGCCGUAAGGCGAAGUAUAGGGGGUGACACCUGCCCGGUGCUGGAAGGUUAAGGAGAGGGGUUAGCGUAAGCGAAGCUCUGAACUGAAGCCCCAGUAAACGGCGGCCGUAACUAUAACGGUCCUAAGGUAGCGAAAUUCCUUGUCGGGUAAGUUCCGACCCGCACGAAAGGUGUAACGAUUUGGGCACUGUCUCAACCAGAGACUCGGUGAAAUUAUAGUACCUGUGAAGAUGCAGGUUACCCGCGACAGGACGGAAAGACCCCGUGGAGCUUUACUGUAGCCUGAUAUUGAAUUUUGGUACAGUUUGUACAGGAUAGGCGGGAGCCUUUGAAACCGGAGCGCUAGCUUCGGUGGAGGCGCUGGUGGGAUACCGCCCUGACUGUAUUGAAAUUCUAACCUACGGGUCUUAUCGACCCGGGAGACAGUGUCAGGUGGGCAGUUUGACUGGGGCGGUCGCCUCCUAAAGUGUAACGGAGGCGCCCAAAGGUUCCCUCAGAAUGGUUGGAAAUCAUUCGUAGAGUGCAAAGGCAUAAGGGAGCUUGACUGCGAGACCUACAAGUCGAGCAGGGACGAAAGUCGGGCUUAGUGAUCCGGUGGUUCCGCAUGGAAGGGCCAUCGCUCAACGGAUAAAAGCUACCCCGGGGAUAACAGGCUUAUCUCCCCCAAGAGUCCACAUCGACGGGGAGGUUUGGCACCUCGAUGUCGGCUCAUCGCAUCCUGGGGCUGUAGUCGGUCCCAAGGGUUGGGCUGUUCGCCCAUUAAAGCGGUACGCGAGCUGGGUUCAGAACGUCGUGAGACAGUUCGGUCCCUAUCCGUCGUGGGCGUAGGAAAUUUGAGAGGAGCUGUCCUUAGUACGAGAGGACCGGGAUGGACGCACCGCUGGUGUACCAGUUGUUCUGCCAAGGGCAUAGCUGGGUAGCUAUGUGCGGAAGGGAUAAGUGCUGAAAGCAUCUAAGCAUGAAGCCCCCCUCAAGAUGAGAUUUCCCAUAGCGUAAGCUAGUAAGAUCCCUGAAAGAUGAUCAGGUUGAUAGGUUCGAGGUGGAAGCAUGGUGACAUGUGGAGCUGACGAAUACUAAUAGAUCGAGGACUUAACCAUAUAA
rnacentral:rRNA from 1 species